rnacentral:lncRNA from 1 species
AGGGAGAGGAAAAAAGAUAAACCUUACUUCUUUCUCUCGCUAUCUAGGUGAGCUAAUGUUAUGAACUCAGAUCACCACUGUUAGUAAGAUACAAUAAUAGUGUGUAUAAUUUAUGUGGCAUUUUAGGUGUGUUGCCCAGAAUCCUGUUUAAUCAGUUACCUUUCUGCUCAGAACUGAUAUAGUGGAAAUUAUCUGAAGUAAGUGCCAAACAUCAUGCAAACCAGGCUAUCUCACUGAAACCGUCUGCUUCUGCCCUUAGCACGUUCACCAUGAGUCUUUUCUGUCUCCUUCAUGAAGAUUAACUCUACUUUGGCAGUUGUGCCAUCUCCAACCACACAUUUGCUGAAAUAAAUCAGCACCCUAUAUCCAGAAAGAGGCAGAACAGCUAUCCAGGACACAUUUACAGGUACCAAAAAAAAAAUUGGUUCCUGGAGAAACCUAACAGGGACCCAUUACUGCUGUGUCCCAGGGUGUGCAUUACCAGGAAGCUGGACAGGAAGCUAAUGAGAGUUCAUACUUGCUACAUGGAAGAUGCUGAGACCUUAAUUCAUCUAUAAAUUUGGACAUAAAAUUAAAUGACAACAGCAGAGUUGGAAGAUAGCUGCUCUUCACUUACAAGGUAACCAGCUCUGCUGAGGUCAUCACAGGUAUUCAAGCAAGACAGAGAUUCUGUUAACAGAGAAGGGAGUGAUUUUUUCUGUGCUUACUUGUACUCUGUUACUAUUUAAGCUGAA